UGGUAAGGAUUUGAUUUAGGCUUUAAUAUUUGGAUUAGGAUUUGGUUUAGGAUUUAGGAUUUGUAUUAGGAUUUGGUUUAGGGUUUGGUUAGGGUUUGAUUUAGGAUUUAGUUGGGAUUUGGUUUAAGAUUUGUUUAGGAUUUGAUUUAGGAAUUGAUUAGGGUUUUAUUUAGAAUUUGGAUUAGAGUUUGAUUUAGGAUUUAGGAUUAGGAUUAGGAUUUGGUUAGGGUUUGAUUUAAGGUUUAGGAUUUGGUUUAGGAUUUGGUUAGGGUUUGAUUAGGAUUUGAUUUAGUAUUUGAUUUGAAUUUGGUUUAAGGUUUAUUUAGGAUUUGAUUUAGGGUUUAGGAUUUUAUUAGGAUUUAAGAUUCAGUUAGUUUUGGCCUAAAGUUUGAAUGAAGUUCAAUAGGAUUUUAACUAGAAUUAAAUUAAAAUUGAAUUGAGAUGUAUUUGAGUGAUAUUUGUGAUCCUUCUAAUAUUUCUUUAAGAAUUCUUAUUGUUUGUUUGAAAUUUCUUU
rnacentral:lncRNA from 1 species